UUAAAUAAUUAAUUAAAUAUGUCAUUAAUUAAUUAAAAUUGGAAUUAAAUAUUUCAUUAAUUAAUUAAAAUUGGAAUUAAAUAUGUCAUUAAUUAAUUAAAAUUGGAAUUAAAUACUUAAAUGUGUUAUUAAAUAAAUAUAUCAUUAAAUAAUUAAAUAUGUCAUUAAUUAAUUAAAAUUGGCAUUAAAUAUGUCAUUAAUUAAUUAAAAUUGGCAUUAAAUAUGUCAUUAAUUAAUUAAAAUUGGAAUUAAAUACAUAAAUGUGUUAUUAAAUAUGUCAUUAAUUUAUUAAAAUAACAAUUAUUUUAAGUAAAAAACAUAUUUCAUUAUUUCACUAUUUAAUUAAUUAUUUCAUGGUCCUUGCGUUGCAGUGGAUCAUGAAUUUAUUUUAUCUGUCAACCUCGCCCGUCAAAGUCGGUGGGCGGAUCCUAACACCUGAUUGGUUACCCUGCACAUCAAGUCAAGGCAAAUCGAUUCCAGAUAAUGGAUUGACGCAGAGCUUGUGAACACAUUCCGAUACACUGGGUGGCGCUAUUCACCUCUACGUUGGUUUGGAUACUCAAUAAAACAAAACUUUAUUAGCAACCGCUAAAGACUCGGUCCUCUUUCCCAAAUGUUGAUACAUGCGGUGCAAGACAAAUUUUCCUUUAGCAUUUCCUUUAGCAUCUACUCGGCGCGCCACGGCUCGUCUCGGUUUAGUUGUUUUUCCAUUACAUUGAGUACCACCUCAUCGUGGGUUGAGUCGUCAUAGCACGGUGGCCCGAAAGUCCCUUACCGUCAUUUUUGUGCGACACAAACGCAAUGCAACAAUGUACAUGGAGGCGAUAGUACACCUGCUGCUCGGUCUGUGGCUUUCUGUCAGAUUCAGAGUAACAGAAGAGUCGGAGAAAGCUGAGAGCGGCGAGUCGAAACACUCAGGAGACACACAGGAGAGUUUGGGAGGCGAUGCAGCAGUAUCAAGCCGAAGACAAGAGGAUAUGAACGAGACGACAUAUGAGGAUGCUCUCUGAUGAGACUUCAUGGGAUUUACCUGAAGCAGCAGCACAUGAGCCUGCAGUGGCACAAGGUGUAGAGGAGGAGGGCAGAGAUGUACAGGAUGCACUGAUGCACUACGUGUCAUGCAAAAGUUAAAAGUUGUUCUUCUUGUUAUACUUCUGUUUUUCUGUCCCCGGACCGCUAUUGUUUUCUUUAAUGCAAUUCUGACAAUAAACUUUUGUAGAUGUG